GGGAAAAGUAACUAAGAAGAAAUGUGUUGACUUUUAUUAAAAAGGAAAUGACUCCACUAUUAUGGAACGUGCUAAAAUGGUAAAAUGACAUCACUACUAUGGAACAGAGGGAGUAUUAUAUAACUGUGUGUAUAACAGGUGCAAUUGUCAAUAUAUUUAUCUAAAGGCUCGGAUACUAUAUGACUUAUAGCUCUUUUAUAUAAAUGGUUCAUGAAUACGUAGAAUAUAUAUUUGGGCAACUGGCGGAUCCUUCUCCUUACACAUUAGUCUCUCCAAACCAAAAAUGGUUUCCCUCUUACAUUUCUUGGUUGUGCUACUCUCCACAUCUGUCUUCCUCUUCUUCCUCCACAAAUGGCGCCGCAGUCCUUCUCCAGAGCCCCGGAGAAGGCUGCCUCCGUCUCCACCAAAGCUCCCGCUAAUCGGAAACCUCCACCAGCUGAGCUCAGCCCCCCAUAGAUCCCUCCAGUCACUCUCCCGCCGCCACGGCCCCCUCAUGCUGCUCCACUUCGGCAGGGUCCCUGUCCUUAUUGCCUCCUCGGCCGAGGCUGCGCGUGAGAUACUGAAAAACCUGGACCUGAUCUUCUCAAACAGGCCCCAACUCAGCAUCGCGAGCCGGCUGUUCUACAACAACCGGGAUGUGGCGUUCGCACCGUAUGGAGAACAAUUUCGGCAGAAGAAGAGUGUGCAAGAGCUGAGAAGCUAGUGGGAGAGAACAAGAGAGUAUUGAUUGCAAUCUUGUCGCAAGUUGCUGUGAUCAAACCUUCGACGUGCUUGAAGGAAAGCUCACGAUUUGCUGUUUCACGGACGUUCUCCAAUGGGCAGCAAAUAGGGGACGAAAAUUCUGCCGAGAAGAUUCUACGGAUUUGAUGUUUCACAAUCUGCUGUUUCACGGAUUUGAUGAUUCUAGAUCCUUCUGCUCGUGUUUGUGGUGUUGAAAAUGUUGAUAUUGAUGGGAAUUUGAAAGCAGGGGAAGAAAGCAAAACUAUAGAUGAAGAGAAAUCGAAUGUGCUCAUAAAGGAUGAGUCUGGGCAUGAUCACCCUUUAGUUCGCCAUUGAAUUGCGCAAUUCAAUGGCGAAUAAGCAUCUUGGCGAGGGGAAUGAUAGGAUUAAAGGGAACGGUGAUUCUGAGGAGAAUCGAGAGGGCAUUAGUACCAUGGAUGAUUGUAAAUUCAUUGAUGACAUGGGAGAUUCGUCAUGCGUCAGUUAUCUGGCGGUUACUCUAUUAUUUGUGAUGGGAACUUCCACAACUAGUAUGAUCUCUGUGUCGGGGCCGGCUGCUCUACUUGGAGUUUCUUUCCACCGCCGAUGUUCAUACGCUUCAUCAGCUUUGUGCACACAUUUGAUCCCGGAGGGGAUAUCUCGCCCAGGCUUUUAUUCGCAACGCUCAUCCAUCAUCAUAUCUCUAUUUAGUCUACUAAUGAUUUACUAUCUUCUAUUAUUGAUUUACCAUAUCUUUAUUUUUUCUUAUUCAUUAAGUUAGGUAUUUACUCUUUAGUAUUAUAAACAUGACCUAUUGUUAUUCUCUUCAAUCAAUGAAAUCAUAAUUAUUUAUCUUUUA